CCUCCUAGGAGGCGGGUGGGCAAACGGAGACCUACGCCUCGGGGUCUCCCGGUGCCCCGGCUGGGUCCCGCCCGCCGGCGGAGGGGCGCGUCCUCACUCACCGGUUCCGGUGGCGCCGCUCUCCCGGGGCGCCCAGCACAGCGCGAGCAGCAGCCAGAGCGCCCAGAGCGCGGACGUGCCCAUGGUGCCCGCCUGGAUGGUGCCGCCGCCGCCGCCGCCGCCGCCGUUCGCUCCGCACGACAAGUUACCAGUCCUUCCGAAAGGAGGAAGAAGGGACUGCAAGAAAAGACAAAGAAGAGAUGGAGAGAGAGUUGGCUGGCAUAAAGACUGCUCAAAACAAAAUGACAGAUGCUGGCAAGGAUACGGAGAAAAGGAAACCCUUAUAUGGUGUUGGUGGGAAUGUAAAUUAGUACAGCCACUAUGGAAAAUAGUAUGGA
rnacentral:lncRNA from 1 species